CUCAUCAAAGGUAAAACUAAUCCAGCAAGGUCGCCCGACGUGUCGAUGAUCCCGAUAGGAGUCGUGUACCUCUUUCUCAGGACACGGCGGAUGGGCUAGACGUCAGGAUCGCUAAACCUCCGGGUGACCAGAGGGGCGCCGGACAUCGCUCAGGUGGGACCAACACUCAUGGGGAGCACUGGCCCGGGGGUUGAUUAAAUUAGUCCGCGGGUGCCGGCGGGUCCCUAUGCAUUAUUAUAUGGUUAUUAGGCAAAUGUAGUACCAAAGUUGGGCCUUGCCAGACCAGUCUUAAUCUAAAACGAAUUAUCAAGGGUGUCCCCAUAACAACCACGAUCGUGUUAGGAGCGCUCAUUUAUGGAACAUAACACCGGUAGCCGAAAACUAAGGGGGCAAAGGUGGAACAAAACACCAGGCUAGAAAGGCCGAGCCUUCCACCUUUUACCAAGUAUAUAGGUGCAUUAAAUUAAAUAGCAUUUAAUAUGGUGAUAUAACAAGGAACCCAUGCUUUCACAUGGAAGCAAUGCACCUGCAACUAGCAACGCUAACAACAGGGUUAAGCAAGCAGUAACAUAGCCAAUCAGUGGUUUGCUAGGUUGAACAGGUUGAAGGUUUCAUGGCAUUGUUGAGAGGCUAAUAUUUAACAUGUGGUAGGCAACGAGACAUAAUCGAUAGAAACGGUAAACUAGCAUGGCAAUGAUAGUAAUGGUAUCUGAGGAAAUGAUCAUCUUGCCUGAGAUCCCGCUUGGAAUAAGAAUGCCUCCGUGAAGCAGACGAACCGACGUAGUCGAACGGGUCCUCACAAUCCGACACGUUGCGGAACUCUAACGAGACGAAGCAAACCGGAAACAAGAAUCAACACACGAUAUUCACCACACGAUGCACAACAAAAUUGAUGCAUGAGCAGCUGAAUACAUACAAGUCACGACAUGACAAUUCACACAAUCGAACACCACACAUUAAGUGAAGUUCAAUAUGCAACAAGUUGCAUAUUGACGAAACUCCACGUUAAUUAUUUAGUUCUAUCCCGAUUAAGUACACGGCAAUAUUAAAUGUGGUUAAACAUGCGAGAGGUGAAGCGGAAAUGAAACUACCUAUCUAGACAUUUUAAAUGAGGUCGGAAAUGACAUAUAGCAUCUCCGUGACGACCUCACAUGUUAAUUUACAAUUCUGUCCAGAUCUGAACUAAUGCAUUUAAUUGGUUGUUAAACAGGAAAACAAAUAGGUUCACGUGAUUCUACGCGUCAAGGCAAGCAAUCUACACAUAAAGAACAUCUCCAACGGAGCUACGGAUCAAAAGUUACAAGCACCGCAAGAUAUGAUGGCAUGAAUGCAAUAUGUGUGCAACGACGGCUACGAGCACUUCAAAACAUACAACCAGCAAGAUAAAAUGAAACUACACGAGAUUCUAAGCAAGUUUCAUGUAGGACACGAUCAAAUCAGAGCUACGGUUCAACAACUACGAGCGAAACAAGAAAACACUACAAUCUGCCAAAAUCAGCCACAUAGCAUUUUCUACACCCCACAACUACGGGCUACACAACUCCGAUAUGCUCAAGCAAGGCAUGGCACGGAAGAGGGCAAGAAGCACUACUACAAACAACUAACAACAACUAGCAUGGCAUCAUGGAGCACUAGGAAAAGAAGACACAAAAUGGCAUCUCACACACUAUUUCAGACUUAGUGAAAAUUACACCUCAUGAAAGUGCAUUUUUCGAUCUGAAGCAAUAUUGACAGCAGCAAAACCUAUAGCUACAGGNNNNNNNNNNUAAAAUUCACAUCAUGCUAGAGAAACAUAAGGGCUACAACUAACUCCAUUGGACCAACCUCAAAAGAGCUACAGAUCACAAGAUAGAAGCAAGACAAGACAGCAACAAAAUAUAUCAGAUUCCAGACUUAGAAAUAUUUCAGCUCCUCCAAAUCAGCACUAUUUCUAGGAACUUGAGAUCUAUCAAACUACACCUAAACAUGCAUUUCUAUUGCAACUAAAAAUACCAGGGGCUAGUCUAAACACCCAAGAUCAACUCUCUAGUUGACAACUCCGUCAAACGAAGCACGGAAUAAAUCCUACCAAUUAAACAAAAGGGCAACAUAGCAAAAUAUCUCGUGAACUAACUUACUCGAAAGCUAAAACUAAUUGCACAGAAAAAUCCAUGGGAUUUUUCUACCCCAGAAACAUAUAAAAUAUGUGGGGUUGCAAAACAAAAUAAAGCCACACAUAAAUGCGGGAAAAUAACCUAUAUACGGGAAAUUAAACUAGCUGCAAAUCCCUACACGUAAAAAUACAAAUGAACGCUCUAAAAUUCAUGACAAAGGUGUCCCUAGAACAUGGGCAUUUUAUCUAAGGCAUUCGAGCUAUUCGGGUACGCACAGAAAAUAACUACGACAAUAAACCUAUCGAGACAACACCCUAAACUAGACAUACGACACGUCAAACAACGUCAAAUAAAUAUGCAAGUUGUGAAAUCGUGUUCUACUCGCGAAGCUACCCCAAAACCAUAUAAAAUACGCCUCGUUCCGACUUACGGAUAAAAAGUUACGGGCAUUACAAUAUUCGUCUAUUUCCUGAAAUUUAACUAAAUCCGAAAAAAAAAUACCUAGAAUGCUACUGGGCCGAACAGGGAGCGCAAAGUACUAUCUAGCGCAGGGGCGGGGAAUAGUUACCUGAUGGGCUCGGGGAUGUGGGCCAACUCGGAGAAGGAGGUGGUGGGCCUGCGUGGGAGGAGACCGGCCUGGCGGUGGUGGGCCCACUCGGGGGGGNNNNNNNNNNNNNNNNNNNNNNNNNNNNNNNNNNNNNNNNNNNNNNNNNNNNNNNNNNNNNNNNNNNNNNNNNNNNNNNNNNNNNNNNNNNNNNNNNNNNUAGCCUGGCCAUAAGUAUGGCAGGCAGGUUCCAGAGUAAUCCAGGAGUGGAUCACUGGACGGCGGUCAAGAAUAUCCUGAAGUACCUGAAAAGGACUAAGGAGAUGUUUCUCGUAUAUGGAGGUGACAAAGAGCUCGCCGUAAAGGGUUACGUCGAUGCAAGCUUUGACACAGAUCCGGACGACUCUAAGUCGCAGACCGCAUACAUAUUUAUUCUUAAUGGGGGUGCGGUAAGCUGGUGCAGUUCCAAGCAAAGCGUCGUAGCUGAUUCUACAUGUGAAACGGAGUACAUGGCUGCCUCAGAAGCAGCUAAGGAGGGUGUCUGGAUGAAGCAGUUCAUGACGGAUCUAGGAGUGGUGCCGAGCGCACUCAAUACAAUAACCCUGUUUUGUGACAACACGGGUGCCAUUGCCUUAGCAAAGGAACCACGGUUUCACAAGAAGACCAGACACAUCAAACGAUGCUUCAACCUCAUCCGCGCCUACGUCGAGGAGGAGGACGUGAAUAUAUGCAAAGUGCACACGGAUCUGAAUGUGGCAGACCCGCUGACUAAACCUCUUCCACGAGCAAAGCAUGAUGAACACCAGAACUGUAUGGGUGUUAGAUUUAUUACAAUGUAAUUCGCAUGGCGAUGUGAGGACUAGAUUAUUGACUCUAGUGCAAGUGGGAGACUGUUGGAAUUAUGCCCUAGAGGCAAUGAUGAAUAAGUUAUUAUUAUAAUUCCUGUAUCAAGAUAAUCGUUUAUUAUCCAUGCNNNNNNNNNNUAGAUGCAUGUGUGGAUACAUAGACAAAACACUGUCCCUAGCAAGCCUCUAGUUGGGUAGCCAGUUGAUCAAGGAUAGUCAGGGUCUUCUGACUAUGUACAAGGUGUUGUUGCUUAAUAACUGGGUCACAUCAUUGGGUGAAUCAUGUGAUGGACUAGACCCAAACUAAUAGACGUAGCAUGUUGGUCGUGUCAUUUUGUUGCUAUUGUUUUCUGCGUGUCAAGUAUUUNNNNNNNNNNNNNNNNNNNNNNNNNNNNNNNNNNNNNNNNNNNNNNNNNNNNNNNNNNNNNNNNNNNNNNNNNNNNNNNNNNNNNNNNNNNNNNNNNNNNCCGCAACCGCCCCACUCCCGCACCGCGCGUGGCGCUCAGCUGGGCCCCGAGCCGGCCCAGCUAUGCACCUCCAGCAGGCUUUGGCCUCACCCGCGGCCCACCUCCAGCUUCGGCAGCCAGGCCGGCUGCCUUCCUCGGCGCCCUCCAGCCCAAGAGCCCCCCCCCCCCNNNNNNNNNNNNNNNNNNNNNNNNNNNNNNNNNNNNNNNNNNNNNNNNNNNNNNNNNNNNNNNNNNNNNNNNNNNNNNNNNNNNNNNNNNNNNNNNNNNNNNNNNNNNNNNNNNNNNNNNNNNNNNNNNNCUUGGCGCUAUUUACUAAAUUGCGCCUCCAUAUUCGGCCCGUUUGCAUUUAGGAUAUUUCUGUGAUUAAAUAAUUUCAGGAAUUAAUAGAUAUUUAAAACGUUUGUAUCUUUUAAUUCGUAAGUCGGAACGAAGCGAGUAAUAUAUGUAUUUCGCGUAGUUUCUCGUGUAGAACACGUUGGCGCUACUUGCAUAAUUAUUUGAGGUCAUUUAGCGUGUCGUAUGCCUAGUUUAGCGUGCUGUCCUAUUAUGUUUGCACCUCGUAAUAUUUUUUCGCGCGUGUCCGGACUGCCCGUCUACCGUAGAUUAAUGUCCAUGUUUUAGGAAUCAUUUUGCAUGUAUUUUAGAGCGGCCAUUUGUAUUUUUACGUGUAUGGUUUGCCGGUAGUUUAUUUUCCCGUAUAUAGGUGUUUAUCUCGCAUUAAUGUGUGGCAUUAUUUUAUGUUGCAACCCCACAUAUUUUAUAUGUUUUCGGGAUAGAAAAUCCGUGUGAUUUUUAUGUGCAAUUAGUUUUAGCUUUUGAGUAAGUUAGUUCGCGAGAUAUUUUGCCAUGUUGCCCUUUUGUUUGAUUCGUAGGAUUUAAUCCGUUCUUCGUUUGACGGAGUUGUCAACUAGGGAGUUGUUCUUGGGUGUUUAGUCUAGCCCCUCGUAUUUUUGGUUGCAAUAGAAAUGCAUGUUUAGGUGUGAUUUUCUUGCUCUCAAGUUGCUAGAAGUAGUGCUGUUUUAGAGGAGCUGAAAUAUUUCUAAGUCUGGAAUCUGUUCUAUUUUGUUGCUGUCUUGUCCUGCUUGUAUCUUGUGAUCUGUAGCUCUUUUGAGGUUGGUCCAAUGGAGUUAGUUGUAGCCCUUAUGUUUCUCUAGCAUGCUAUAAACUUUCAUGCCAUUUGGAGUCCUGUAGCUAUAGGUUUUGCUGCUGUCAAUAUUGNNNNNNNNNNCUGCACUCUCAUGAGGUGUAAUUUUCACUAAGUCUGAAAUAGUGCGUGAGAUGCCAUUUUGUGUCUUAUUUUCCUAGUGCUCCUUGCUGCCAUGCUAGUUGUUGUUAGUUGUUUGUAGUAGUGCUUCUUGACCUCUUUCGUGCCAUGCCUUUCUUGAGUUUAUCAGAGUUGUGUAGCUCGUAGUUGUGGGGCGUAGAAAAUGCUAUGUGGCUGAUUUUGGCAGAUUGUAGUCAUUUCUUGUUUUGCUCGUAGUUUUUGAACCGUAGCUCCGAUUUGAUCGUGUCCUACAUGAAACUUGCUUAGAGUCUUGUGUAGUUUCAUUUUCUUUUGUUGUUUGUAUGUUUUGAAGUGCUCGUAGCCGUCGUUGCACACAUAUUGCAUUCAUGCCAUCAUAUCUUGCGGUGAUUGUAACUCUUGAUCCAUAGCUCCGUUGGAGAUGAUCUCUAUGUGUAGAUUGCUUGAAAUGACACGUAGAACCACGAGAAACUAUUUGUUUUGCUGUUUAACAACUAAUUAAAUGUGUUAGUUCAGAUCUGGACAGAAUUGUAAAUUAACAUGUGAGGUCGUCUCGGAGGUGCUAUAUGUCAGUUCCGACCUCAUUUAAAAUGCCUAGAUAGGUAGUUUAAUUGCGCUUCACCUCUUGCCACGUUUAAUCACAUUUAAUAUUGCCGAGUAUCUAAUCGGGAUAGAACUAAAUAAAUAAACGUGAAGUUUUGUCAAUAUGCAACUCGUGGCAUAUUGAACUUCACUUAAUGUGUAGUGUUUGAUUGUGUGAAUUGUCAUGACGUGACUUGCAUGUAUCCAGCUGCUCAUGCAUCAUUUGUGUUGUGCAUCGUGUGCUGAAUUCCGUGUGAUGAUUUGUGUUUCCGGUUUGCUUCUUCUCGAUAGAGCUCCGCACGCGUGCCGGAUUGUGAGGACCCGUUCAACUACGUCGGUUCGUCUGCUUCAGGGAGGCAUUCUUCUUCCAAGCGGGAUCUCAGGCAAGAUGAUCAUUUCCCCAGAUACCAUUAAUAUCAUUGCCAUGCUAGUUUUAUCGUUUCUGUCGUUAUGUCUCGUUGCCUACCACAUGUUAAAUUCAGCCUCUCGACAAUGCCAUGAUAACCUUCAACCUGUUCGACCUAGCAAACCACUGAUUGGCUAUGUUACUGCUUGCUUAACCCUGUUGAUAGCGUUGCUAGUUGCAGGUGCAGAUGCCUCCAUGUGAAAACAUGGGUUCCUUGUUAUAUCACCAUAUUAAAUGGUAUUUAAUGUAAUGCACCUAUAUACUUGGUAAAAGGUGGAAGGCUCGGCCUUUCUAGNNNNNNNNNNNNNNNNNNNNNNNNNNNNNNNNNNNNNNNNNNNNNNNNNNNNNNNNNNNNNNNNNNNNNNNNNNNNNNNNNNNNNNNNNNNNNNNNNNNNAAAGCAUUCCUCCGGUGUCAGUGAGUUAUAUGAUCUCAUGGUCAUAGGAAUAAAUACUUGACACGCAGAAAACAAUAGCAACAAAAUGACACGACCAACNNNNNNNNNNCCCACCUCCUCCUUUUUUUUCUUUCUCUUUGAUUUUUAUCUCUAUGGCGCAUAGGGCACUUGUGGGCUGUCCCACCAGCCCACUAAGGGCUGGUGUGCCUCCCUCAAGGCCUAUGGGCUUCCCCGGGGUGGGUUGCCCCCCCCGGUGAACUCCCGGAACCCAUUCGUCAUUCCCGGUACAUUCCCGGUAACUCCGAAAACCUUCCGGUAAUCAAAUGAGGUCAUCCUAUAUAUCAAUCUUCGUUUCCGGACCAUUCCGGAAACCCUUGUGACGUCCGUGAUCUCAUCCGGGACUCCAAACAACAUUCGGUAACCAACCAUAUAACUCAAAUACGCAUAAAACAACGUCGAACCUUAAGUGUGCAGACCCUGCGGGUUCGAGAACUAUAUAGACAUGACCCGAGAGACUCCUCGGUAAAUAUCCAAUAGCGGGACCUGGAUGCCCAUAUUGGAUCCUACAUAUUCUAUGAAGAUCUUAUCGUUUGAAUCUCGGUGCCAAGGAUUCAUAUAAUCCCGUAUGUCAUUCCCUUUGUCCUUCGGUAUGUUACUUGCCCGAGAUUCGAUCGUCAGUAUCCGCAUACCUAUUUCAAUCUCGUUUAUCGGCAAGUCUCUUUACUCAUUCCGUAAUACAAGAUCCCGCAACUUACACUAAGUCACAUUGCUUGCAAGGCUUGUGUGUGAUGUUGUAUUACCGAGUNNNNNNNNNNGAAGACACUGACUAUCAUUGAUCAACUGGCUAGCCAACUAGAGGCUUGCUAGGGACGAUGAUUUGUCUAUGUAUCCACACAUGUAAAUGAGUCUUCAUUCAAUACAAUUAUAGCAUGGAUAAUAAGCGAUUAUCUUGAUACAGGAAUUAUAAUAAUAACUAUAUUUAUCAUUGCCUCUAGGGCAUAAUUCCAACAGAAAAAUCAGGUAUAUUUGAUAUACAUGUUAUUGAUGUGUACUUAACCAGCUCUCGUAGUAGUGCCUGGGUAUUCGAUACCGGUUCUGUUGCUCAUAUUUGCAACUCGAAACAGGAACUGCGGAAUAAGCGAAGGCUGGCAAAGGAUGAAGUGACGAUGCGCGUGGGAAAUGGAUCCAAGGUUGAUGCAAUCGCCGUCGGCACAGUUUCACUUCAGUUACCAUCAGGAUUAGUUAUGAACUUAAAUAAUUGUUAUUUAGUGCGUGCGUUAAGCAUGAACAUUAUAUCUGGAUCUUGUUUAUUGCGAGACGGUUACUCGUUUAAGUCAGAGAAUAAUGGUUUUUCUAUUUUUGUGAGUAAUAUCUUUUAUGGUCAUGCACCCAAUGUGAGAGGAUUGUUCAUAUUGAAUCUUGAUAGUGAUAAUACAAAUAUACAUAACAUUGACACCAAAAGAGUUAGAGUUAACAAUGAUAGCGCCAUGUUUUUAUGGCACUGCCGCUUAGGUCAAAUGGGUGUAAAGUGCAUGAAGAAACUCCAUACUGAUGGACUUUUGGAGUCACUUGACUUUGAUUCACUUGACACGUGUGAACCAUGCCUCAUGGGCAAGAUGACUAAAACUCCGUUCUCCGGAACAAUGGAGCGUGCAAGUGACUUGUUGGAAAUCAUACAUACCGAUGUGUGUGGUCCGAUGAGUGUGGAGGCACGCGGCGGAUAUCGUUAUUUUCUCACUUCACUGACGAUUUGAGUAGAUAUGGUUAUGUCUACUUGAUGAAGCACAAGUCUGAAACAUUUGAAAAGUUCAAACAAUUUCAGAGUGAAGUUGAAAAUCAUCGUAACAAGAAGAUCAAGUUCCUACGGUCUGAUCGUGGGGGUGAAUAUCUCAGUUUCGAGUUUGGUGCUUGAUACGUCUCCAUCGUAUCUACUUUUACAAACUCCUUUCCCUUGUUUUGGACUCUAAUUUGCAUGAUUUGAAUGGAACUAACCCGAACUGACGUUGUUUUCAGCAGAAUUGCCAUGGUGUUGUUUUUGUGCAGAAAUGGAAGUUCUCGGAACGUCCUGAAAAUUUGCGGAGAAUAUUUCUGGAAAAUAUGAGAAAUACCUGCGCAAAGAUCCACCGAAGGGGACGGGCCAGUGGGCCACAAGCCCUGUGGCCGCGGCCACCCCCCCCCCCCCNNNNNNNNNNUGAUCAUCAAGACCCGCCAGGCCGGGAUCUCCCAGACAUCCAAGUCGCCCCAGCCCCUCUUGUCAGGAGCGGCGGACGAGUGGGGGUGCCGUGCUUGGCCCCUGCCCUUCGCAACGAACGAAUGCCCAAGGAUUUUAAAGGACCAAGAAAGGUGCCUAACUACACUCCGGACCUUGAGCCGGCGUCAUGGGUCGAGAGUUAUGAAAUCGCCAUGGACAUGCUCGACGUAAACGAAGCAGUUUGCGCCAGAUACUUCACAAUGAUGCUCAAAGGGACAACGUGUACUUGGUUAAAAAACUUACCCCCAACUCCAUCCAGACCUGGGCUGAAUUGAAAGAGCGCUUCAUCAAAAACUUCCGAGGAAACUGCAAACGUCCAAUGACGAUUGUCGAUCUGCAGCACUGCGUUCAACGCCCCGAUGAGUCGGCCCACCACUGGUCACGGCGGGUCGCGGAAAUCAUUUACUCAUCAGAUGGUAUUACGGCGGCUCAGGCUGUGCUGAUUGUCGAGAAGAAUUGCCACUACGAACCUCUGGUACAGAAGUUGGGGCGACUCAAGCGAAAGGUCCAAGACAUGGGGGAGCUAAUGGAUACCCUCACUAGGUACGCUGAGGCGGACGACACCAAAGAUCCCGGUGAGGACGGUAAAGCUAACUCACCAAGGAAGGGCGAGUCAUCCAAAAAUCAUACCCGGUUCCAGGGACGCAACCGCCACAAUCAGGCAGCGAAUAGCAAGAGAAGGCAGCAGGAAGAAUCUUCAGAUUUAGUCGCCAAUACCAACACCAACAAUGGCAACCAACGCCAGAAGAAAAGCAGGGGAUACAGUGGUAAAAAGCCGCGCAACUAUGAAGAGUUACUCAAGGGCCCCUGCCCGCACCACGCCAUGGCAGACGGACCGGCGACUCAUUCCUUGGAGAACUGUUACGUGAUGCGGGAGUUUCGGGCGGAGGCGAUCAAAAAAGGGAAAAGUGAUGACCCGGACCAACGGCAGGAACAGUUCGGUGCACCCAACCAACGUCAGAACCCCUUCGGCGGUUUUCCUGAACCGGGGGCUCAGGGUGGCUCGCAGCCGAGCAGCGGCCAGUAUCCAGUGCAUCACCAGCGACGGUAUAACCCGCCCGGAGUUUUUCAGCAACCACCCCUACAGGGGGCUUCGCAGGGCCAGGAUGACAACGACGGCUUCUGCAACAACCCCAAACAGUUAAGCAAUGGGCAGUACCACGUUUUCACCACCAAUGCUUGCAGGCGUGAUAAAAAGGUGAGUCACCGAGCGUACAGUGUGUCUGAGCCGGAACUCCCCAGGUACCUCCACUGGUCCGAGCAGACCAUAUCAUGGAGUAGGGAGGAUCAUCCACCAAGAGUUGACAAUCCCGGCGAUUUAGCGUUGGUCGUGGCUCCCCAAGUUGGGGGGUAUACCCUGUCAAAAGUACUAAUGGAUGGUGGCAGCAGCAUCAAUAUUUUGUAUUUUGACACUUUCCAAAGGAUGAACUUGUUAGAAAAAGAUUUGAUGCCUUCAACCACGGUAUUCCACGGAAUCGUCCCAGGCAAAUCGGCGUGCCCCAUAGGCCGAGUCAGACUCACAGUUGCAUUUGGAACAGCAUCUAACUACAGGAGUGAGUCGCUGAUGUUUGAGGUGGUUAAAUUGAAAAGCCCCUACCAUGCGCUGUUUGGGCGGCCGCCUUACGCCCGGUUCAUGGCUCGCCCAUGCUAUGUUUACCUUAAACUCAAGAUGCCUGGUCCUAAAGGACCCAUCACGGUUGACGGUGAUAGAAGGAUUGCAAGGGAAUGUGAAGAAGGGGACGCGGCUUACGCGGAAGUCGCCUGCGCUGCGGAGGAGCUCAAAUAUCAUCGGGCCAAUGUUGAUCCGGCUGAUAUGUCGCCCUUAAAAAAGCCAACGACAGAUGCUGAGCCGCCCCUCAAGUUCAAACCAAUGGAUGACACUAAAACGGUUGAUUUCGUUCCUGGCGACUCAACCAAGCAGUUCAUCAUUGGGACGGGUCUGGAUCCCAAAUAGGAAAGCGCGCUCAUCGAAUUCAUCCGUGAGAAUCGAGACAUCUUCACAUGGAAACCUUCUGACAUGCCUGGUGUGCCGAGAGAAUUCGCUGAGCACCAUCUUAAUGUUGACCCAAAGGCAAAACCUAUCCAUCAGUAUCUUCAUAGGUUUAACGAGGAACGACACAAGGCAAUCGGGGAAGAGGUUGCCCGUCUCUUGGCCGCCGGAUUCAUCGUAGAAGUUUUUCACCCCAAAUGGUUGGCUAACCCGGUCUUGGUGCUCAAAAAGAAUGGUACCUUCCGUAUGUGCAUUGAUACACGGACCUCAACAGAGCUUGUCCAAAAGAUCCUUUCGCUCUUCCCCGCAUCGACCAGAUUAUUGACUCGGUGGCGGGAUACGAACGUUUGUGCUUAUUGGACGCCUACUCUGGAUAUCACCAAAUCAAGAUGGCCGUGGAGGAUCAAGAGAAAACAGCUUUUAUAACCCCCUUUGGGGCUUUUUGCUAUGUGUCCAUGCCAUUUGGACUCAAGAGUGCAGGGGCGACUUAUCAGCGCUGCAUCCAGAAUUGCCUCCGUAGACAAAUCGAACGCAACGUCCACGCCUAUGUCGAUGACAUUGUGAUUAAAACCCGCCAGGGGGAGACGCUAUUGGAAGAUCUCAAGGAAACUUUUGAUAAUUUGCGGGUAUAUCAGAUGAAGCUAAAUCCCACCAAGUGUGUUUUUGGUGUUCCUGCAGGAAAAUUGUUGGGCUUCCUGGUGUCUGAGCGUGGCAUCGAAGCUAACCCGGACAAAAUCGAAGCAGUUACUUCCCUUGGGAAGCCAACAAAUGUUAACCAAGUCCAACGGAUGGCGGGUCGCAUUGCGGCCUUAAGUCGCUUCAUAAGCCGCCUGGGAGAAAAGGCGAUUCCCCUUUAUCAAUUGCUGAAGAAAUCUGACCAUUUUGUUUGGACAGAUGAAGCUGAUGAAGCUUUCGAAGCCUUGAAACGGCAACUGGUCAACCCGCCGGUCUUGGCCGCCCCGACUGAGAAAGAGCCCAUGCUUUUGUAUAUUGCGGCAAACUCCAAAGCAGUAAGUGUGGCGAUGGUCGUUGAAAGGAAGGAGGAAGGAAAGGAAUACCCAGUGCAGCGCCCGGUGUAUUUUAUCAGCGAAGUGCUAACUCUUUCCAAGCAACGGUACCCACAUUGGCAGAAGUUGGUAUAUGGGGUGUUUAUGGCGAGUCGGAAGCUUAAACAUUAUUUCCAAGAACAUCCCAUCACGGUGGUUAGUUCCUGUCACGCCCAAGAUGCGACCCUAUCCUCAAUUUGGCACGAGGGUCUCGUCAGGGAUAGAAGCGCAUCUCGUUGUGUCGCAAGAAUGGAUAUCGUUACAAGUACAAGUACUGAAAAGAAGAUAUAUAUAUAUAUAUAUAGAAUUGGCUUACACUCGCCACAAGCUACAUUAGAGUCACAUCAGUACAUUACAUAAUCAUCAAGAGUAAGAGCAAGGUCCGACUACGGACGAAAACAAACGAGAAAAGAAGAACGACGUCCAUCCUUGCUAUCCCAGGCUGCCGGCCUGGAACCCAUCCUAGAUCGAUGAAGAAGAAGAAGAAGAGGCAACUCCAAAUGAACAAUCAACACGCUCGCGUCAAGUAACCUUUACCUGUACCUGCAACUGGUGUUGUAGUNNNNNNNNNNNNNNNNNNNNNNNNNNNNNNNNNNNNNNNNNNNNNNNNNNNNNNNNNNNNNNNNNNNNNNNNNNNNNNNNNNNNNNNNNNNNNNNNNNNNGGACAGACCCUCUCCUGAGCCUCGUUGCAGCGGUGCUUAUCCUGUGUGCCGUACGCGUUGGCUGAUGACGAUCCAUGUAAACAAGUGUAUUAUUAGGUGCAACAUGGACUUAUAAGUCCCUAUAAACAAACAGGUAGGGACUCGGGACUUAUAAGUCCCUGUAAACAAACAUAAGUUGAGACUUAAAAAAGUCUUAGAACUUAUGAAACAAACAGGGCCUAAGUUAAGCCGAGGCGGCGGCGGCCGCAGGUGGUGGCGACGGCGCCUCGUAAGAUGGCGACGGAACGGGAAACCGGCGAGUCCACCAGGCAGCAGUCUGAAGCUCUUUAUUGGCUCCCUCCGAUCCAGAGUAUGGUUCGAGUUCCUCCACUUUCUAGGAAUAAGAUCAAGCGCAAGGGUCCAGCUGUCUCUUGUGUUAGAAAACCGGCGAGGGAGGACAGUUGUAAGAUAGAGGAGACGGAAGGCAGAUCUGGGAAGCAGGGGCAGUCUCAACUUCUUCAUGGCCAUCAAAUCCGGAAGAUGGAGGUUGAGAUGGACGAUAUUGACAUAGAUAAAUCAGUCCAACAAUUAGCCACGGAGCAGGAGGAGAUGGCCACCGAGGAAAAGAAUUUCUCUGGCCACAUAAGUUUCUGGCAAUCUGUACGGGGAUCCAUGGGGUGCGGCCGCUUUGAAGACACAAGUAAGUUGAAAUUCACGCAUACUUACUCAGUUUUCUUUAGCUAGCCACGUACGUAGUUUUCAAUUCCUUCCUGAGUUCCUGUUUUUUUCUUUUCUUUUGAUUGAUCGACCUUCCUUUUAUAAGUGGCAUGGGGAUUGAUUUGCCCUUUUGCUUAUCUAGCACUAGUACAUGUUAGAUUUCUAACACAUGCUUCACUUUGGUGCUUGCAUGCAGCACUAUUGAGUUCCAUGCACUUCACACACUUGACACCUAUACCUGGAUUAGUGGAUGGUGUGGUCGCAAAUACCUUGCAGAUCUUCUCCAUCAAAAUCGCAGAAAUCAAAGGCGGCUUCAAAUGGCCAUUGUUUGUGUACGGUGUGGUUGCUGCCAGGGACUCGGUCGAUUUUAAUCGCAACCUUCUCUUUUGGUGUGAUAGCACAAUGAGCCAAAUUGUUCGGGAAAAUGUAUGUAUAGUAUCUUUGCCUUUUGAUGAUUUUGUUUUGGAGAUAUUUCUGUUGGCAUAUGACCGUUUGGUCAUCUCUCUUGUUGAUUAGUAGUUAAUGAAGGGGUGAUUGGAUAAUGCUUGCAGGAUCCUUUUUUGCGCUUGAUUGGGCCAUCACGUGCAAUCCUGUUCAAAGAUCCUGUCCAGUUUGAAAUUCAACUGAGAGUUGAACAUGGAGCAAUGCCUCGAGACAGAGCAUUGAUCAGUACGAUGCACACUUUCUCUGCAGGUCUUCCUGGUAUGCAUACCAUUUGCUUUGAGAACGCCUUCUGCAAAAUAGAGUUAUGCAUGGAGCUGGUCCUGGAGUCAAUUCAGGCCACAGUCUGCAGUGUCCGUGUUGUCAAACAAGGGAGGCGGCAGCGUGUUGAGCAUCAUUGCCGAGUAGCUUGCUUGACAACAUCGUACUCCAAGCAUGUUGACGAUGCCCCAUUUGGUGAAGUCGUGCUGCUUGAUCCUCGUAGACAUGCAACGCCACAGGGUUCAGAUGGUUACCUUGAUCUGUCGAGGCGUGUGGUCUCUGUACAACGGGGAGGCCUCCUGGUAGUUGUUGUAGAGGCCUACUCACCAUCCUGUGUUAGGACAGCACAAGGGCACAUCUUCUUGGCUGCCAAAUGUUUUGGCUUCAGUCAAAAGACAUUUAAUGUUGAUGAUGCUGAGCUGGAGAUUACCGUUGCUUGGUCCCUCCUCGUCCCAGACAAGUAUAAACUCUUGAGACCAGUGAUGAUUUGAAACCUCCGAGUGUUUACCUGAAGAUGCUGGCUCACCAGGCAAAGCUUUGACGAUGUGUGUCCGCUCUAUAUUAUCUAAAAUGUCCCAACUGUUCUAUCAUGUAUGGACUAUAACAUGGGUUGUGUGAUUCGGCUGUGACUAAGUUAAUACUCCCUCCGUUCCUAAAUAUAAGUCUUUUAAGAAUUAUUGCUAUUUGGAAUGUAUCUAAUUCUAUUGAGUCUGACUCAUAGUGAUCAUUUCUCAAGAAUGACCAUGGUUCUUGGAUUUUUUUAUUUAAUCCCUUUUUUAUUUCUUCAAUGAUUAAUUGGAACUCCGAUUAAUUAUUUUGGCUGACUGUUUGUACAUAAAUAAUAAGUCAAAACGAAGUAGGAACAAGAAUGAUCUUCGGACAUACGGAAAUCUGUUUCAUGUAGCUUGGCAAGGAAAUUUUGAAUGAGAGAACCCCCCAAUAGAAAAACAUUGGAAAGGAAAAAUACUUCUAACCCAUGAACAGUUUGUGGCAAUGGAUUGGUUUGAUCAAAAUUUUCAUGUUAUUCCCGAAUGCUAAGGAGAAGAAGAGGAUUGAGUCGAAAGAAAAAGCUAUUUUCGAGUUUUAUAUCAACAAUUUAUUUGUGCAACGAUUGGAUCUGUCCAAGCACCUCGUUUAACAUUCAGGGCUUGUUUGGAUACGUUGCUAGAUGGUUUUCAUAGUUGACCUCCAGUGCCUCCGUGAGGAAGGCAUGUUUGGCGAUAGCCGCUGGCUGUGAUCCAGGCGGUGAAAUUGAGUCCGAACUAGAGGCCGACUCCUAGGGAUCCGAAGACUCGGUCGGACGCCGAGUCCAAAGUUAAAGCUUCGGAGUCUUUGGUCUCAUCGGCAGAAUCCGCUGGAAUUAGAUCAUCCCGCGAAUUGUUUGGGAAUUUGAGAUUCCCUAGCCUUGCUUGAUGGUCGGGGGCAAAACCUCCGAUAUGCCCGAGGCGGCCAGUCAAGUCUGCGCGCAGCAUGAUGCUGCCGAACGAAAGGACCUGUCCGGGGACGAGGAUGUCCCCGUUGCUGAUCCUGUCGCAGACGAUUACACGAGUCAUCAAUCUCUUCGGCGAUCUAACAGUGGAACUCUCAAUGAAAUCACCAAUGUCAGUGUGAAAACUGAUAGAUCACGGGUAGGGGGUCUUGAACUGUGGACCUAGGAUCGAUGGGUUGCAGGGAGAAGUGGACACAGUGGUUUUACCCAGGUUCGGGCCCUCCUAUGGAGGUAAUACCCUACGUCCUCCUCGAUUAUAUUGAUGAAGAUGAUUACAGAGUAGAUCUACCUCGAGAUCGUAUAUGCUAAACCCUAGAUGAUUCAGCCUCUUCCUCACAGAUAGGGGCUCCUGGUUUAUAUAGACACCAGGGACCCUAGGGUUUACAAGUUUACCGAGUAUAAUAAGGAAUAGAUGAGCCGACCUAGUCUUCCUAAGCUUGAAGUACACGCCAAUCUUCAGGAUAUUCCUUCCAAAGUAAAGGUCGUUGUAAGGCCCGGUCUUCUACAAUGCGGUCCAAUGGGCCCACCUGGUAUUGACUAACCGGCCGCCCGAGGACCCCAAAAUCCUGGACUCCCUCAACCCCCCUUUUAUCGCACACACAGACAAGGUGACAGUUUGAAACCGCGUCACUUAAAGGGGUUAAAAACUGUUUGCUUAGGACAUUGUUGCACCAGUGCUAGUACAAGUGCAUCGCUCAUACCAGCCGUCGCCGCCUCCCUCUCAUAUAUACGGAAAACUUCUAUGGACGCACAAAGAGAGGAGGAGAUGACCACAUCGCGAUCGCCAUCAGAACACUUGAGAAGAGAUCUAGCAGAGAGAGAACUUCAUUUAGACCCAUUUCGGCUUCCUCCACAUCACCCCCAUUCAUUCAUGUGCACCAUCGCCAUAGAGAGAUUAGUUCCAACUUCUAAUUGUAUUCAUACUUUGUUGAAGAUUGAGAUCAGAUCGAUCGUUCUUCUUAUUGCAGCAAGUAAUCCUCCAUAAGCAUGGGAGGUGUAGGGGAUUAGUGAGAUUCAUUCGUGCCUAUUUGAUAUGUUAUUUGUGAAACUAGUUCUAUGUUUGAUUAUUAAGUUGUCUACAUGUGGUGACCGAAAUGUGUGUUGUCCAGUUUAAGGGUCUAGGCAACAUGAUCAAAAGACUUACAUGUAACACAUAUGAUUCAACGAAUCCAAGCCCACUAGAUGAUGGUGUUGAUAUCUACGAGGAGCGAAGACGGUAUGAGGACAACAUGACUUAACUAGACUUAUUAAAGCGUUGAUUUGGUCCCACAACCUUAAUUGUUGAAAUGGUCAUGCACAUGGCUGCGUCGAUGCAGAAUACUAGAGGAGAACAAUUCCGGUAUGGAUGAUUUCUACUACCAAAGGGUGAACCGCCUACUGAACGUACAAUUAACGAGGUAGAGUUACAUGACAAGGUAACCCGUAUUACCGUCGCACUGGCACAUUUGAUGAAAGCUAUGAUCCGAAUUUCCCCCGCAUAACAUCUCCACUACAGACAUACGAUGAUUUAUUUUCGGCAAUUUAAUUUUUAUGUACUUUACUUUUCGCCCUCGUUACUUUGUUUUAACUCCCUUUCAUUUGUCUUCCAUGACUAAGAUCAUCCUUGCAGAUUUUUCAAAUAGUUAAUUCACACAAGAUUGGUGAAUUUUUUUCUUUAAGAAGUAAAGACCGAUGAUAACUUAUGUGUGAACGUAAGGCCAGCUAUUAACACUCUCCUCCGCUCUUAGUUGGAAUGAUAAACCAUUUAAAAUAUUGACAUGAAGGAGCUACAUAACUAUGUGUGUCUUGCAAGUCACCAGGGUACCAGUUAAUUAGUGAUUUUGUUGGUUUGUUCUAUUAAUUGAUUCGUGGUUUGGAAUUAAGAUGGGUUGGAUUAUAUUUCAAAGCCAAAAAAAUAUAUGCAAAUCAAAGUAGGGGCAACUAACUCACGGGCUUCCCUUGCGGGGUAGUUCCAGCGGACAGCUCGGGAGCACCCAGUGCUGCUAUGAGUCGCGUGUUGUGUUGUUUUUAAGGGUUUAUAGGUUUAUUCAAUUUUUCUUGGUUGUUCCUAGGGAUUUUUUUCCUUUUUCCAAAUUCUUUGUUUUUUUUUUGGUUUACAUCUGACAAGAGUUGGUGAUUAUUGCGCGAAAUCACAUGUGUGAUAUGUGUUUUUUAUGUGAGAAGCACAAUUAUGCUUUACAGCGAAGCACAAUUAUACUUUUGUACCCCCCAAAAAGAGAAGCACAAACUAUGCUUCCCAAAAAAGUGAAGCCCAAUUGUAUCCGUAAGUUUUUUCAUUUUUUCUAGAGUUUCUAUCUUUUGAGUCUGUUUUCUUCUAUGGUUUUUUAGUUUCUGGGUUUUUAUCUAUUUCUUCAUCAAUCACGGUUGUGCUUCUCGCAUGAUAAUUGUGCUUCUACAAAAGUGAAGCAUUUGAUGUGCUUCCAGGUGAAGCACAAGUUGCUACCAGUUGGAAGCACAUAUUUGCUCGAAAAAAAAGUUCAUCAAAUGAACUAGAGAUCUAGGUUCAAAGAUCUUGACGUGAAAAAGCAACAACGAAAAUGGUUCGUGAUUUGGAUGUGUAGUUCAAAACAUAAAAAGCUUUGAAAAAAUGAAACUACAAAAAAAACAUAAUCAAUCCCGCUCGUGCCUUCCGUGCAUAGAAAGAAAUCCCAUCAAAAUUUAUAGAUUGUGACAAGUGUCACACAUGUAGUGCUUUACUUGUCACCAUGAGAGUAAGUAGGAGUGAUCUUUGCAAGAGAUACCCCCUAAUGAGUGAUUUCGCGGUCACAUGGGCUGCUUGGACGCGUUGUCGGUAACUCUUAUUUAUCACUCGUUGCGACGAGUUGCUGGGCAAUCACACAAAAGAAAGUUAGGUCAUCCCAAUUAGUUUUACGAUUUUUGGAGGUUCUAGGUAUAGUUUUUCUGGGUUGUACAAAGGUUCUGAAAGUCUCAUGUCUAUAUUUUUAUUCCUUUUAUAUUCUUUUCUUUAUUAGUUUUUACAUUUUAUUUUCUUCUUAUUAUUUAUAUUUAUAAAAAUGUCCACAGUUUUUUUAAAAUGUUUCUAAAAUUUAAAAAAUAAUUGAACCUUUAUAAGAUGUUUCUCAAAUGUAUUAAAAAUGUUCACAAGUUUCAAAAAGUGUUCACACAUGUUUUUUAAAAGCACGUAGCUUUAAACAUAUUUACAUUUUUUAGAAGUGUUCGUAGAUUCCAAAAAAAAAUUCAGUUUUCUCACAAGUUCACGCAUUAAAAAAACAAAUCACACGCUUUUCCCUAUAAAUGUUCAUGUACCCCUCCGUCUCGGUGUAAAACUUAUUUAGGUUGUGCACCGUGAUCAAGAUGGAGAGGAAAACGAGAUAAAUCAAUGCUAAUUUGCUAAUUAAUACCAUUUCAUGUAAUAAAUUGACCAGUGCUUGUUAUGCUAGUUAGUCCCAAGUCAUUGAAAACAUACGAUCCCACAUUUCUUAUUGGUUGAUUCCUUUAUUCAUGUUGCAAAACAAGAAACGAGGUGAAACUUAAUGCACCGCAUCUAAAUGUUUUGAAAUUAUUUGGUUUUCGUAAGAUGACUUAUACACCGAAACAGAGGGAGUAACCAUUUUAUGUUGAAAACCGAAAAAAAGAAGACAAAGGAGGGGGCAAAACACGAUGACACUACAAGUUGCGGCACAUGCCUAACUAGGCCACCGACCUAAUACAACGCCCAUUGUGUGGCACCUCUACAAUCAUUCCUAUUGGCACGAGAUAGGAGCUCCCCACAUUGCCACUGCCAUCCAACAUCACCCCGGAGGAGGAAGCCAAACCCGUUGGGAAGCAAUUGUAGGCUGGAACUACAAUUUUAUGUUCGCCUCCACCACUUCAGGUGUACUAAUUUUAUGUUCGCCUCCACCACUUCAGGUGCUAUCCACCCACGAUGGUGUACUAAUUGUAUGUAUGUGCUUCGCUAUGGGGAGAACACCGUCGCGACACUGCAGCAUCUGUAUGAUGUCGUUCGACGAGAAGCAUGUGUCUUCCUCUCGAACUUCCAUCCAUCCCAUUAUGUAUCGAAAUUGUGUUACAGAGUGAUAUUGUUAGGUAAAGGCAGAGAUUAAUAUUGGAUAGAUUCUUACAAUCCAAAAGUUAAAUGGAGGACACUUGCUUACUUUGCAAGGUCAUGUGUUCGAGCAAACACGGUGACAAUCCUUAACAAUUCUCACUUUAUAAUAUCCUAUAAGUAUUACAUUCUCUAUUUUCCAUUGUCAUGGAGUAAUAUAUUUAAUUUUGUCAGCCACCGUCAUUGCUGGUACAUCCUUGAGUUAGUUGUAUUUUUUCCCACUAAUCAGGGGUCACGGCCGAUGUAAUUAGGCGCCCUGCUAGGCCCUGGUUUACUGCUAUCGAAUCUUAGAGCCUCUGCAGCUACAACUUGCAAAUUCGAACCCUUAAAGGUUCGUGGACGCAUCAUCAGUGACUAGGUGUGUUCCUUAUUUGUUUGUCUGUAUUUGUAAUUUUUUAUAUGUCCGAUCACUUUCACGUGUUUGAUGGAGAGAUGGAGAAAGAAAGAAAAGAAUGAAUAAGAAAAAAAAUGUGGUCCGGGAUGGGGUCGUGUUCUAUGUGGAUACUGACCGGGCGCGUCCGGACACGUCCUCAUAUCCUCCCUAUAUUUAAGAUGAAUAAAAAGGUUCGUGGACAAUUCAUACAUAUAAGGACGAUAUGAGGAAUCCGGUUGAGUCAUUUUUUUUCCUUCUCUCUCCUGUCCGAUCACUGAAUGAAUGUAUCCGUGAACAUAUGAAGAGUCAUUUGAGGGUCCGGAUAUAGAUGCUGUUAACACCUCACAGCUACGCUUGUAUCCUUUCAGUCCGUACGUGUGAGCUCGUUAUGAACCCCUUGAUAGAUACAUGCAUGGAUAGGUUAAAAAGAGGUGUGAGUAUUUUCACAAGAAAUAGCGAUGCUGAGUUGGUUGCUAUAGUCACGUUUUGGCUGGACAAGAGGUAAUAAGUUCAAUCACCAGGCGUCCUAUUUUUCUCGCGUCAGUUUUUUUUGUCGGUUAGGUGUUGACUAAUGGUCAUAGUGGUAAGACUAUCCAUAGUAAAACUAAACACAGGUAGUAACAUAGAUGUCACAUAAAUAAAAAAGGGAAACACUUCCUAUCAUACAUCUGAUAGGUAUCAUACAUCUGAUAGGGAGAUAUUCGUCAGACCAGUUGAGGAACGUUGAUGGGCUUUUAAUCGCACCCCUGAUUUGCUUCCAAAAUCCAUUCAUUAUUCAGUUUCCAAACGAGCCUGAUUUCUUGCCUUGUCCGUCUCCAUAGAUCCCGCAAAUAAUCUCAGAUGCACCAACUCUCCCGACUCUAGCCUGCCCCCGCUAGGCCGCCACAGCUCCAUCGCCGAGCUGGCCACGCCCCUCGCCGAUCUGGUUCUUCACCGGUGCGUCCUCUGGAACAGUUGUCGCCCACCUGCGCCGUCCAAUUCCUCUCUGUGCUGGUGUACUCUGUGCUGCCCAUGAUGUUCUCUCCUGCAUGGAAAACCCAAAGACGUUCUUAGGUUGCCGCAUGCGUCGAUCCUGUUGUUUCUAGGUCGUAUUACAGGAGAAAUGAUCAGAUGAGACGGGCCUGAUGAUGUUGUUCUAAUUUUCUUGCUGUUGUACUUGUACUACAUGUCCAUCGGGAGCAAGGCUGAUAGAAAACAAGAGAAAAGAAACGAUGAAUUCAAACAUGUAUGCUUCGGAUUGAAAGGUCCUCUACCAGGGUAACAUUCUCUCAUUUGUAUUGAUUAAUAUUUGCAAUUUUGUUUUGCUUCUAAUAUUAAUGUUUCGUUCAGAUAUGCAUCUAGUUAAUCUGUUGUACUGCACCUAAUACCGUGGCGAGUCUUUUUCGCCAUGAUUUUUGUCGAGUGCAUCUAUUUUAUAGUCGAUGUGUUUCUUGCCUCAUACGAUGGCGAGUCUUUUUCGCCAUGAUAUGGUAGUGCCGUACCAACCGCAUUGCCAGCAAUGAUUUGCAGGCGGGAUGAUGGAAGCGGAGAGGAAGCACAUGUCGGAGCCAAGCGCAUCACACCGGUUGAUGGCGCCGAUGAUGGAAGCGACUUGUAGCCUGCAACCGAGCAUCUGACCUGACCUGACAAAUAGGGAUCGCCAUGAGGCCGUGUUCACCUGUGCACCCAUACCAGCAGCUUACACCCUGCCAAUGGCACUGAUAUGGUGCUUCCUCUGGACGACAGCAUGACCCUCUAGGACUGCACGCCCCAGGGUCCUGCACCAACGAUUUUCUUAACACUCCAUGAUCUAAGUUUGGAAGCAAUACUUAUAUAGUUUGGAUGCAAUGGAAAAAUAUUUUUUUUGAAGCAAUACUAAUGGACCUAUGUCAUCCAUGGCAGUUGAUGUGAACCGUGCGUCGCGUCAUUUUGGCCACACGGCACACAUAGUCGUUUAUUCAUUCCAUUAAGUCCUUGUUGUGCAGAAGCAAAAUCUAAUUCUAUUUGGAGCAAAUUUAUCUUAAUUUUUGAAGCAAACUUCAAUAUUUUUUUGAAGCAGUCUGAUGUUACAUUCGGGACAAUUCUAUAGCUGCUUGAAGCAGAUAUAUAUUUUUACUGAUCAAAAUAAUUUGUCGUCGAAGCAAUGUAAUUAACACAAAAAAUAUUUCUGCAUAGGAAGCACAAAUAAGUUGCACCAAGCUGUUGGAAACAAAAGUUUUUUAUUUUAGCAAUGCAUUCCUAUUUCAUCGAAGCACGUGUAAUCGUGAAAGCGAAACCAUCAGAAAUGUGGUAACAAUUUAUGUUUCAUUCGAAGCAAUUCGCUACUCGGCUGAACAAUUUUUAAUGUUUUGGAAACAAUAUAUCAUUAUAAGGCAAAAAAUUAUGUCAAAUUGAAGCAAAUUCUAUUAUGUGUCGGAACAUUAUAUUGCAUCGUUGAAAACAAGUCUUUAAUUUUAAAAAAUCAGAUUGAAGCAAUUUUCAAUCAAGAUGGAAGCAAAGUUUGUCAUGCUAGAUACAAACUAUUAGAUUUCAAACCACCUAUCUAGUUUUCCUUGUCCACUAACAAAAAGAAGAAGAAAAAAGAGCAUGUAACACCAAUUCCACGUACUUCACGGAAGGAGUUAAGAAGCAGUUAAAAAGGAAGCAAAACUCAAUUAGUGGACCAUGCAUGUACACCUACCUACCUAGGCCCACAUUUCCUCAAGCCAUUCUAUUCAUGCAUCGCAUGCAUGAGAAAUCAUUAAUCCGACGGCAGCCAGCUAGGCUGAUGGUUGCAAGUAUCCAGACAUCUGAUGCCUAGUGAUGCCCAAUAAAAAAUAUGAUGUGUUAGUUAAUUAAUAAGAAGAAAGAGAAUUUGAAUAACAUAGCUAGUUACGAAUAUUAUAAGCAAUAUAACACAUAUCAAGACAAGAUAAGUCUAUAAACUAAUAAUGGAAACGCUCAAUAUUAUCAUUUCUAUAUUACUAUUCAUUGUGAAGGUAACUUAGACUAGUAACAUAUGCAUGUUAUUAUUUUAUGUUACUUUUCAUUAUGGAUAGUCCAAUGAGUUCGAUCACCGGCGCUUCCAUUUUCUCGGUGCUAGUUUUUUUUUCUCACGUGGCUCAACAGCCCAUAAGAAAAGGUCCAAUGAAGGACAAAUCUGGUCCAACAAAUAGGUGUUCAAAACCAAUAAAAUCAUCUAAACAAAACAAAAUCAAGAGUAUUACCUUGCUUUAUUAAUAGAUAUAAAUUAUGGAGCAAAUUAAUGAUGGCAUUGUAACGUUACGUGGAACUAGCAUAAUGGUCCGCGCAACUGGGUGCUAGUGAAAAUUCGAGUAAAAGUAAGAUACAUUUUUAUAAGGCCCGUGCUUCUGUGUUUAACAUACAUCCUAUUGUAUUCAAACUCGGUAGAGUGUGAAAACAUAGUAACAUAUGCUUGACAUUUGACAUCUGUCGAUGUUAAAAUCGACGGAUCUCGGGUAGGGGGUCCCGAGCUGUGAAUCUAAUAUCAAUGGUAACAAGGAGAGCAGGGACACGAUGUUUAUCCAGGUUCAGACCCUCUCGAAAAGGUAAAACCCUACAUCAUGAUUUAACUAGAUUUUGAUGAUAGGUAUCAAGUACAAGUUGAUAAUCUACCUCGAGAUCAUUGUGUAAGCUCUAAACCCAAAGAUGAAUACGUUGGUCCUCUACAGACUAAACCCCAGGGUUUAUAUAGAUACCCAGGGGGAGCUAGGUUACAUGAUUAAGUCGGUAAUAGGCAAGUUGAAUAUGGAGGCAUCCUUAGAGUACACACCAAGUCUUUGAAGGUUUUUUUUCUUGACACGGGCAAGUCUCGACGUUCCUGUUGGUCUCCCGAACAUUGCUUGAUGGACCCCCAGUUCGGUCCGUAAGAACUAAACACCUCGAGUUGGCACCCCUAGUCCAGGACACCCUUAACAUCUUACCACUUGAAUCAACUUCUAGAUGUGUUUAUGGUUUACAUAGCCAUUUGUAUGUGAUUAUGCACUGAAUAGGACAAACAAUCAUAUGGGUUGUUCCAUAAUCAUCAUAUAACCCAACGAUGGAAUGGUAAAAUAGCUCGUAUAUUUAUAUCGCUUUCUCUUUAAUGUACCAUUACUAAGAAUCUGAGUGUGCUUGUCUGCUCGAGCUCAUAUGAGCUUGGUAUGAGCAGUAAAAUCCGAAAAAGAAAUUUAAAAAUCUGAUUUCUUUUUGUGAUAAUUUUUGAUAAUUGUUUUGAAUGAUUGCAAAGUUUCAUCAUAGGAUGACAUUUAUGGAAGUUGUGGCAAAAAAAAUCAAUUUGUUUUUUAUGUCUCCCACGUUCCACGAAUGUCAUUCGAUGACGAAAUUUUACAAGCACUUAAAACAUUCAUCAAUGUUUGAUCGAAAAAUAUAUUUUUAAAAUAUGUUUUGAUUUUUUUGGAUUUUAUUAUUCACCGAGCUCAUCAGAUAAUUGACGUCCUACUAUGUAGUACUUUUUCCGUCUAAAUUAUUUAUCUUAGAUUUAUCUAGAUACAGAUGUAUUUAACACUAAAACAUAUCUAAAUAAAUUUAAGACAAGUAAUUUGAGUCGGAGGGAGCGACAUUUUAUUCUUUCUAACAGAGAUAUUCGGACUGUCAUACAACAAAGUACUAUUUUACCAUUCCAUCGUAUUUGUCGCGGCCUGAUUGUAUGUUUGUUGUAUCCAAGCAAAUGAAUCUGAUUCAUGGAGUACUAGAACAUGUGAUCCUCUGUAUGUUUGUUCGAAUAUCUUUGUCGCAGCCUGAUUUUAUAUUCGGACUGUCAUACAACAAAUGAGUCAUACAACAAAUGAAUCUGAUUCCAUCGUAUUUGUCGCGGCCUGAUUAUAUGACAGUCCGAAUAUCUCAUUUGUCGCGGCCUGAUUGUAUGUUUGUUGUCUCCAAGCAAAUGAAUAUGAUUCAUGGAGUACUAGAAGAUGUGAUCCUCUGUUUGUCAUGUUGUAUAGUUUUGCAGGGAAUAUCUUUCGAGUGAUCAUUGUAUUUUAGCUUACUUAGUCAGGGUAGACUUGUAAAUGUUACUGCCUUAAAUGUCCAAAGUUAAUGCAUAUUGUUGUACGUCUGGUCUGGAUUUUCAACACGGGAAUCUGAAAGUUUUCUCAAUGGUCGAACUGGUGAAAGAAUGCAGUGGUCGGUUUCCAUGCCCCUGCCUUCUACCAGAGGCUGGUUGAUACGCAUCGCGGAAGACCGGGCCUGCGCGCGUUCUCACAACGGUGGAGGAGGCUGAAGCGCUAGCGAUUGGCCAGGUACCAAUCGGAGGAGCUAGUUAAUACAGUACCUCGUACUCUGUUCUCCACCCUGCAUGCUCCUUGAAAACAAACAAAAGGAAUAUCUUGGAUCAUAAACCGUUGCAGCAUUGGGUAGCUCUCCAGCUUGCAGACCGGGAGCAGAAACGCACUCACGCACACAUAUUUGCAUCUCCGGAUGCCAUCACAAUCAGACAAGAGAACCAAAGAAACACAAGCAAUCAAAAGAGACAAGAAACAUGAUCGAGCAGACUCUCUGCUCAUCAAAGAUUCAUUUGCUUGGAUACAACAAACAUACAAUCAGGCCGCGACAACACGGAGCAAGAGGAGAAAAAGAGACGCACCUCCAUGAAUCUGUACGAACAACACAAGGGGGCUCGAUCACAGCAUCAAAACCCUCCUCCCUACCUGAGCGAACAACAACGGACACGAACCAAGAAGUGAUGAUUGAGGGAACUCCAUGGGAGACAGACGGCCUCUCCUCCUCCUCCUACGGCACGAGGAAGAAGAACGUCAUCUCGCCUCUGGGAACAAUGCUUCACCACCGAAGAUACUUAUACCGCGAAUAUCUCCAUCCACGUCCCUUCGAGGGGCUCCAAUUUGACCCGCUCUGAAACUCAUCAUCUGGCCGGGUUUCUGAACUUUGAACGACAGUAUCGAUCUCCUGCAGUGACAGGGAUCCUGUGCACUGAACCUGGACGCCUUCAUGUAGCUUUUUUCCUCUGUUGCAGCACUGUGGUGGCACAGGGCGUGCUGCCCCAUCGGUGUCCCUGCUUUUCUUAUUCUCCCUUUAUACCGCCUGACCAUAACAGUCACGCGUAAUGGGACAGGUAGCUAGCUGGCCCAUUGGAUUAGACGGAUUUUGUAAUGGAAAAUGCCGGAUUAGGUCUAUGUGCUCUGCCAUUAGGAUUACCAAAUGUGUCCUAGCAGCAUCAUUGUCUGCGUGAUAGCUGGCCUUUCAUUAAAAUUGAAAUAACACUGAUGAUGAACGUGCUGCGUGAAAGACUAGUUUGUUUAUGUGUGAUGGUGAUCUCACGCUCAGUUCAUAAUCAGUCAUACGAGACCAACUCAGCACUCUCCGGUCCUGUUCCAUCACAACAUGGAUUAACCAGCCACGGCUGCGAAAAGUAGAGUGGAUUAGUAGGCCAUCAAGUUAGUGAACCGACUGUGCUUUUAAACUGUACAUAAACACCGAUUUUUAUAUCCUCUUUUUAUGUAAGUAGAGGUGGCACCCGUGUCAUCCGGCUGCACCGAUCGAAUGCAAGCCAUAAACAGCGUGAAAUCUUCAGCAUGUAUCAGGACGCGGAAAACAUUUUGUCUUCGUCUACCUAAGUUCCCGAUCACUUUAUGGUUCUUCGCCAAAGUUUGCUCACUUUAUCAAAGAUACUGCACUCACAGCACUACAGCAACUAACACGUCCACUCAUGACCUGCACCGCAUUAUUAGCAGAGAUUGCCCAGGAUCCCUGCUCGUGUGCCUGGCCCCAAGCCUGUCCUGCAAGUGGCCCGAGCUUUGGACCAGUUGCAUGGUGAGAUGACGGUGAUUAUGGCGUGAUCACUGUAACUCCCUUCGCAUACGCUGACAGAAAUGUUCGUGGAGAGAAACCGAGCGACGACGACGACGACGACACUGAUCUCUAGCUAGCUGCUGGAGAUAAGGAAUUUGUAGGUUGGGCACGCAUCUUUACUCCAUGAGCCAGUUUUUCUAGAGCUGCAAAUCUAGCUGAGUAGUGCCGCCCAAAAAAAGGACACGUCACAUGAGAUUCCCUUCACUCUAGCUUCUAACCUAGGCUGCAUCACGGCUAGGUGCAUUCCCAGGUUCAUCUAUCCGGCUCCAAGACCUUGCAUGCAUUUGCACACCACAGUCCACAUGACACAAACAAGCUUGCUAGCUACUACUCUGUGUAGAUCUUUAGUCUUUCGCCUAGACAUAUAAAUAGCAGCCGGCUAUGUGCUCAUCAGCAGGGUAGAUUAGACAAGUGAGGUGUGGUCCACGGGAGAUGAGCAGAGUCCUAGCAAGUUUGGUUGGUUGUCAACUGGAGUUCUCCUCAAAUCACUUCAGUAGCUAGCUUAACCAUGUCUCGGUGCAUUGACACUUUUGUAAGUGCGCGCAGUGAGCUCGACAGCUGUGCAUAGUGAAGUGUUUGGGGGAACUCUGGGUGGCGACCAGCAAUAUCAAUACAGGUUUGAGAGUGUUUGUGUUUCAAUUAUAGUGCUAGAUCCAUGUAUGAAAUCCAUAUACAUGAUGAUGGGUACGUGGGAAUUAAUCGAGUUUGGCCACGUCGGGAGCUCCCUUCAAGCACUUCAGGAAGCAUCUCUUUCAGGGCAUUUCUGAAGUGUUUGGGGGAACUCUUGUUGUCGCCAAGCAUUUCGUAAACAUAUGGAGCAUAUACCAUAAGAGAGAUGUACCAAUAGCAAACCAAGUUUGGUAUUACCGAGAGUUCCCUUCAAGCACUUUACGGAGUACCUCUCCAAGGUAUUAUGUGAAGUGUUUGGGGGAACUUUCGGUGUGGCCAAGCAUUUAGCAGAUAUUGCAGGUUAUAUACCACGAAAGAUGGCAAGACAUGUUUAGUAUUACUCGGAGUUCCUUUGAAGCACUCCACGCAGACUCCACGAAGCAUCUUUUUGAGGGCUUAUGUGUAGUGUUUGAGGGAACUCUAGGUGUCACCAGACACUUGCUAGUUACUAGCCACAUGCCAUAAGAAAGAUGCACUAAUAACAAACCACAUUUGGUAUAACCGGGAGGUUACUUCGAGCACCUUAUGAAGCACUCUUUUGAGGUAUUAUGUGAAGGUUGGGGGGGGGGGGGGGGUUCUUCGUUAAACCAACCAUAUAGCCGACAUUACAUGUCAUCAACAAAAAGAGAAGCACCAAUGGCGGAGCCAAUUUGGUAUUACUAGGAAUUCCCUUCAAGCACUUUACAAACAACCAUAACUUCUACUUUUACAUGCAUUUAUUUUCCUGCAAUUAUUUAUUUUGAAAAGAAAAAAAAUACUUCCAACCUUAGAGAUAAACCCAUAACAUGUUGCAACUAGCAAAACUAGUGAGAUUGGGAAUCUCACUACAUUUGUUGGGGACAAGAGUGAAGUUCCUUGUUUGUGGUGCAGUAUUUUUGUCAGAGUUAGGAGUGUUGCCUCUAUGGGUUGAUCCUUGUUUUUUGAACCGAGGGGAAGACUUGCCACUUGCUUCAAGCCCUUGCACUUGGGAUCCCAACAAUUGUUAUCAAGAUUGACUCCUUGGAGCAGCAAACAAAUUUUGUGGCAUCUUUGCCAGGUGGUAACAUUAAGUCUCACAGGCUCCGCAAUACUAUUACUUCAUGUUCCUCGUUAUUUACGUUAUGUAGACAUUUUUAUGUAUUCUGGUUUUUUUGGCAUUAUUUACACAAAAAAUAUAUUUUUACUUCAACAUGUAGUUAAUUUUCUUUUACUUAGCAGCAAUGGAAAGCCUAUCCAAAAAUGCGGUGCCACUUGAGCUAGAAAUUCUUGUCUUUCGGCAAAGUGGAGGUGAAACAUUAAAAGACUCUUUGUAUAUGAUCAAAAAUUUGCAUUAUAGGUCUGAACAAAAAUGCUCAACAAGUGCUCUGCCCAGGGAAGUUUUAUAUUGUAAUGUUUGCCUGUUUUAAAUAUGUACUGGUUACUAUAACAUGAGUUCUGACAUGGUUUCCUUUUGCUUAGUAUAGCUGCAGCUAUUUGGCGUCCGAUUUAUCUUAAGCUGUUGUAAGGAUUGAAAACUUGGCAAUAAAUAUAGCUGUGUCCAUCAUCUAAUGCACAUGCAAGGGUGUUUCUCCUUUCACAAAAAGAAGAAGGAAAAUAGUAACGCUUGCAAAGUAUUUUGGCACAUAGAUCAUUGAAAUGAUCUCACCUAUUUAUAGGAGUAAAUAGUUUGGCAUAAAAACAUGUUCAUAAUAUUAGCUAUUAUUUUUUCAUUACUAGUACAUAUCUGUAAAAACCCAAUGCUCAUAAGUGCAUGUUUGAGAUUUUUGUAUAAAUGGUGUUUUUAUUCACUCAUAACUUAACAUUUAGGAUGGGAAUGGGCUGGAUCGGCCCGCGAGGUCGUUUACCCCACCCAAAAAUUCGUGGCCAAUGGGUCAUGUGGCUCGGCCUCAAAUGAGAUUUGGGUCAACAGAGCUGACACCGGGUGACCCUCUGGGUCAGCCUGGUCGACCCACCAUAGAGUAUUAUAUCUCACAAUAGUUGCAAUCUUUGUUAUGUCGGCGUUGUCGUAUGACCCGAUUUUACGAGGCAGUGUGUCAUAUAAUUUCUGACAAAUGCUCAUGUAUAUGAAAAAAAUAGUCUUGAUAUGUUUCAGCAAGAUGUGCAUUUACAAAAUCACAAGCAAAUGACUUGAUUUUUUAAGUUAACCAUGUAUUAGAAAUCUUAUUAAUUCUUACACUAGUCAAAUUCCAGUAAACCGUGACCAAUUUUAAUAUCUCAUUCGUCCAUAAAGAAAUGUAAAGUAAGAAUUUAGGUAGACCCGAAACACCCAUGGGGCAAACAAAGACACUGACUAUUAUUUAUAUGGGUUGACCCGUGACCUCACAAAUUGGCCCUGGGGCCAUAGGGGCCGGGUCCAAGGCCAGGUCCGGCGGGCCCAUUUCCAUCCUGAUGUAACAUCAAGGGUCGGCAUGUGCAUGAUUAUGAUGACAUCAACGUGCAGACAGAGAGGACCAAAAUCAGGAAGACUAAUUAAGACUAAAAUCAUGAUGACUCGGUAGAGAAAAAAUAAACAAAACCCCAAAGCUAAAUCGAUGAUGGGCAAGUUAUAGACCAUGCUAGGGUUUUUGGCUCCCGUUGGCAGCGGGGCAAUUUGCCACGUCUCAUGUGGCCUUAUGGCCAUGGAUGAGCGGUGGAUCCCGGCCCUUGCUGAUGGAAGGGCUCCGUUUUUAAGUGCUUCUUCAAGUUUUGUUAGUGUUUGUCUUCUGUUCAGGAAGACAAGACGACGACGGCUCCCUAAAGUUGGAAUAAAGUUCUUCCCGCCUAGCCUCCGUCCUGGUGACGCGCCUAACAUCGUCGGAGGACGUGUGGAGGUGUGUCUGCGGCGGAUCUCACGGAUUCGAUCAAUGGUUAUCUUUGGUGGAUCUGCUUGGAUCCGAUCUUUGUUUGUCUUUGUUGAUGUGUCUUCUGGUUGGAUAUUUUUAAUCUAACCUUUUCUUCAUCGACGGUGGUUGUUGUUUUGCUCCGGUGUGGGAGGGGCAAUGUGAGAGUUUCCCGGAAAAUAAAAAGAGACCAUGCUAGGGCCUAUAAUGUCACUUAUUAAUACCUGUGAAAAUGUGAAAGUAGCAGUAACAUUUUUUGGAAGCGCAAUUCAACGUCCAUGUAUACGUUCUUAAUGCUAGCUAGGUCGAUUCAUCAUUCAUUGCCAAUUGCCCUAGGCUAUGCGUCUCAACUAUUACAACGCUCGGAGUCCUUCAAACUCAAAUCAGACCAAAUCGGCGGCUCGUAUAUGUCUGAUUCGAUCUAAUGGCACGUAGCAUCCGUCAUGUCUUGCAGAAGUAGCCGAAGGGCACACUGGGAGUCGAGAACUCCGCCGAGAGAAUCUUUGCCGCGACGACGGCGUUCGCGGCGUUGGUGUAGUGCACUCCGUCCCAGCUGACGAACUUGGAGCCGUCCUCGCACACCCGGUAGCCGGCGCCGAGGCAGCUCACGCUGGCGUUGUAGUUGUAAGGCGGCCCGCCGUAGCCGCAGCACGCCAUGAGAGGCUCCUCAAACCCUGAGACACCAGCGGCCCCGUAAAAAAGACAGAGGAUGCAUGCAGUUGUCUCCAGGUUGAUGGAUAGGAUUGCUGAACGAUCGACUCACCGUAGCCGCUGUGGUUGGCGAUGAGGUCGUGCUUGAUGGACAGGACGUCGGUGUACACGAUGGUGGCGCCUUUGAGCUGCGACGUGAGCUUGUUGCAGACGGUGCAGAGCUGGUCGUUGAACUCGUAGGAAGCGUUGUUGAGCGUUCUGAGGCAGCCGCCGUCGUCUAGAUCGCC
rnacentral:lncRNA from 1 species